UACGAAGGGGGCGAGCGUUGUUCGGAUUUACUGGGCGUAAAGGGCGCGCAGGCGGUUCUGUUUGUCGAGUGUGAAAGCCCCGGGCUCAACCUGGGAACUGCGCUCGAAACGGCGGAACUAGAGUUCGGGAGAGGAGAGUGGAAUUCCCAGUGUAGAGGUGAAAUUCGUAGAUAUUGGGAAGAACACCGGUGGCGAAGGCGGCUCUCUGGACCGAUACGUGACGCUGAGGCGGCGAAAAGCGUGGGGAGCAAACAGG
rnacentral:rRNA from 1 species